rnacentral:rRNA from 1 species
GUGAGGAAUAUUGGUCAAUGGGCGAGAGCCUGAACCAGCCAAGUCGCGUGAAGGAAGAAGGAUCUAUGGUUCGUAAACUUCUUUUGCAGGGGAAUAAAGUGCAGGACGUGUCCUGUUUUGUAUGUACCCUGAGAAUAAGGAUCGGCUAACUCCGUGCCAGCAGCCGCGGUAAUACGGAGGAUCCGAGCGUUAUCCGGAUUUAUUGGGUUUAAAGGGUGCGUAGGUGGUUUGAUAAGUCAGCGGUGAAAGUUUGCAGCUUAACUGUAAAAAUGCCGUUGAAACUGUCGGACUUGAGUGUAAAUGAGGUAGGCGGAAUGCGUGGUGUAGCGGUGAAAUGCAUAGAUAUCACGCAGAACUCCGAUUGCGAAGGCAGCUUACUAAGCUACAACUGACACUGAAGCACGAAAGCGUGGGGAUCAAACAGGAUUAGAAACCCUUGUAGUCU